rnacentral:rRNA from 1 species
UACGAAGGGGGCUAGCGUUGUUCGGAUUUACUGGGCGUAAAGGGCGCGUAGGCGGCCAGCACAAGUCAGUUGUGAAAUCUCCGAGCUUAACUCGGAAAGGUCAACUGAUACUGUGCGGCUAGAGUGCAGAAGGGGCAACUGGAAUUCUUGGUGUAGCGGUGAAAUGCGUAGAUAUCAAGAGGAACACCUGCGGCGAAGGCGGGUUGCUGGGCUGACACUGACGCUGAGGCGCGAAAGCUAGGGGAGCGAACGGG